UACAGAGGUCUCAAGCGUUGUUCGGAUUUAUUGGGCGUAAAGCGUGCGUAGGCGGCGGGGUAAGUGAGGUGUGAAAUCCCGGAGCUUAACUCCGGAACUGCACUUUAUACUGCCUUGCUCGAGGGCUGGAGAGGAGACUGGAAUUUACGGUGUAGUAGUGAAAUGCGUAGAGAUCGUAAGGAAGACCAGUGGCGAAGGCGAGUCUCUGGAAAGCUGCUGACGCUGAGGCACGAAGGCCAGGGGAGCAAACGGG
rnacentral:rRNA from 1 species